rnacentral:tRNA from 2 species
CGGGGUGUAGCGCAGCCUGGUUAGCGCACUUGGUUUGGGACCAAGGGGCCGAAGGUUCGAAUCCUUUCACCCCGACCA